rnacentral:rRNA from 1 species
GAUGAACGCUGGCGGCGUGCCUAAUACAUGCAAGUCGAGCGAACAGAUGAGAAGCUUGCUUCUCUGAUGUUAGCGGCGGACGGGUGAGUAACACGUGGGUAACCUACCUAUAAGACUGGGAUAACUCCGGGAAACCGGGGCUAAUACCGGAUAAUAUUUUGAACCGCAUGGUUCAAUAGUGAAAGACGGUUUCGGCUGUCACUUAUAGAUGGACCCGCGCCGUAUUAGCUAGUUGGUAAGGUAACGGCUUACCAAGGCGACGAUACGUAGCCGACCUGAGAGGGUGAUCGGCCACACUGGAACUGAGACACGGUCCAGACUCCUACGGGAGGCAGCAGUAGGGAAUCUUCCGCAAUGGGCGAAAGCCUGACGGAGCAACGCCGCGUGAGUGAUGAAGGUCUUCGGAUCGUAAAACUCUGUUGUUAGGGAAGAACAAAUUUGUUAGUAACUGAACAAGUCUUGACGGUACCUAACCAGAAAGCCACGGCUAACUACGUGCCAGCAGCCGCGGUAAUACGUAGGUGGCAAGCGUUAUCCGGAAUUAUUGGGCGCAAAGCGCGCGUAGGCGGUUUCUUAAGUCUGAUGUGAAAGCCCACGGCUCAACCGUGGAGGGUCAUUGGAAACUGGGAAACUUGAGUGCAGAAGAGGAGAGUGGAAUUCCAUGUGUAGCGGUGAAAUGCGCAGAGAUAUGGAGGAACACCAGUGGCGAAGGCGGCUCUCUGGUCUGUAACUGACGCUGAUGUGCGAAAGCGUGGGGAUCAAACAGGAUUAGAUACCCUGGUAGUCCACGCCGUAAACGAUGAGUGCUAAGUGUUAGGGGGUUUCCGCCCCUUAGUGCUGCAGCUAACGCAUUAAGCACUCCGCCUGGGGAGUACGACCGCAAGGUUGAAACUCAAAGGAAUUGACGGGGACCCGCACAAGCGGUGGAGCAUGUGGUUUAAUUCGAAGCAACGCGAAGAACCUUACCAAAUCUUGACAUCCUUUGACCGCUCUAGAGAUAGAGUCUUCCCCUUCGGGGGACAAAGUGACAGGUGGUGCAUGGUUGUCGUCAGCUCGUGUCGUGAGAUGUUGGGUUAAGUCCCGCAACGAGCGCAACCCUUAAGCUUAGUUGCCAUCAUUAAGUUGGGCACUCUAGGUUGACUGCCGGUGACAAACCGGAGGAAGGUGGGGAUGACGUCAAAUCAUCAUGCCCCUUAUGAUUUGGGCUACACACGUGCUACAAUGGAUAAUACAAAGGGCAGCGAAUCCGCGAGGCCAAGCAAAUCCCAUAAAAUUAUUCUCAGUUCGGAUUGUAGUCUGCAACUCGACUACAUGAAGCUGGAAUCGCUAGUAAUCGUAGAUCAGCAUGCUACGGUGAAUACGUUCCCGGGUCU